ACAUGCAAGUCGAGCGAACAGACGAGGAGCUUGCUCCUCUGACGUUAGCGGCGGACGGGUGAGUAACACGUGGAUAACCUACCUAUAAGACUGGGAUAACUUCGGGAAACCGGAGCUAAUACCGGAUAAUAUAUUGAACCGCAUGGUUCAAUAGUGAAAGACGGUUUUGCUGUCACUUAUAGAUGGAUCCGCGCCGCAUUAGCUAGUUGGUAAGGUAACGGCUUACCAAGGCAACGAUGCGUAGCCGACCUGAGAGGGUGAUCGGCCACACUGGAACUGAGACACGGUCCAGACUCCUACGGGAGGCAGCAGUAGGGAAUCUUCCGCAAUGGGCGAAAGCUUGACGGAGCAACGCCGCGUGAGUGAUGAAGGUCUUCGGAUCGUAAAACUCUGUUAUUAGGGAAGAACAAAUGUGUAAGUAACUAUGCACGUCUUGACGGUACCUAAUCAGAAAGCCACGGCUAACUACGUGCCAGCAGCCGCGGUAAUACGUAGGUGGCAAGCGUUAUCCGGAAUUAUUGGGCGUAAAGCGCGCGUAGGCGGUUUUUUAAGUCUGAUGUGAAAGCCCACGGCUCAACCGUGGAGGGUCAUUGGAAACUGGAAAACUUGAGUGCAGAAGAGGAAAGUGGAAUUCCAUGUGUAGCGGUGAAAUGCGCAGAGAUAUGGAGGAACACCAGUGGCGAAGGCGACUUUCUGGUCUGUAACUGACGCUGAUGUGCGAAAGCGUGGGGAUCAAACAGGAUUAGAUACCCUGGUAGUCCACGCCGUA
rnacentral:rRNA from 1 species